UCCGGGAACUUGUCGACUGAUAAGCCUGGAAACGUAACUAAGGGCAGGGAGUUACCGCUUCCUGCCCUUUAACA
rnacentral:antisense_RNA from 1 species